rnacentral:rRNA from 1 species
UACGUAGGCAGCGAGCGUUGUUCGGAGUUACUGGGCGUAAAGGGCGCGUAGGCGGCUUAUCAAGUCAGGCGUGAAAUUCCCGGGCUCAACCUGGGGGCUGCGCUUGAUACUGAUUGGCUUGAAUGCGGGAGAGGAUAGUGGAAUUCCCAGUGUAGAGGUGAAAUUCGUAGAUAUUGGGAAGAACACCGGUGGCGAAGGCGGCUAUCUGGCCCGUAAUUGACGCUGAGGCGCGAAAGCGUGGGGAGCAAACAGG